UUGGAGGGCAAGUCUGGUGCCAGCAGCCGCGGUAAUUCCAGCUCCAAUAGCGUAUAUUAAAGUUGUUGUGGUUAAAAAGCUCGUAGUUGAACCUUGGGCCUAGCCGGCCGGUCCGCCUCACCGCGUGCACUGGCUCGGCUGGGUCUUUCCUUCUGGAGAACCGCAUGCCCUUCACUGGGUGUGCCGGGGAACCAGGACUUUUUACUCUGAACAAAUUAGAUCGCUUAAAGAAGGCCUAUGCUCGAAUACAUUAGCAUGGAAUAAUAGAAUAGG
rnacentral:rRNA from 1 species